GCCUUCUUAGCUCAGUGGCAGAGUACUAGUCUUGUAAGUCUGUAGCGGUGUCAACUAGUGGUCAUGAGUCAAUUCUCAUAGGAGGCA
rfam:Daphnia pulex DAPPTscaffold_874_Cont11314, whole genome shotgun sequence.